rnacentral:rRNA from 1 species
UACGUAGGGUGCAAGCGUUGUCCGGAAUUAUUGGGCGUAAAGAGCUUGUAGGCGGUUUGUCGCGUCUGCUGUGAAAUUUCGGGGCUCAACCCCGAACUUGCAGUGGGUACGGGCAGACUAGAGUGUGGUAGGGGAGACUGGAAUUCCUGGUGUAGCGGUGAAAUGCGUAGAUAUCGGAAGGAACAUCAGUGGCGAAAGCGGCUUCCUGGACCAGUACCGACGUUCAGGCACGAAAGCGUGGGGAGCAAACAGG